GACGAACGCUGGCGGCGUGCCUAAUACAUGCAAGUCGAGCGAAGCGGCGGAUGGGUGAGUAACGCGUGGGUAACCCGCCCUUAAGUCUUGGAUACCAUUUGGAAACAGAUACUAAUACCGGAUACUAAAGGAUGGACCUGCGGUUCAUUAGCUAGUUGGUAAGGUAACGGCUUACCAAGGCGAUGAUGCAUAGCCGAGUUGAGAGGCUGAUCGGCCACAUUGGGACUGAGACACGGCCCAGACUCCUACGGGAGGCAGCAGUAGGGAAUCUUCCACAAUGGACGAAAGUCUGAUGGAGCAACGCCGCGUGAGUGAAGAAGGUUUUCGGAUCGUAAAGCUCUGUUGUUGGUGAAGCGGUAAUCAACCAGAAAGCCACGGCUAACUACGUGCCAGCCGCCGCGGUAAUUC
rnacentral:rRNA from 1 species